AACGAACGCUGGCGGCAUGCCUAACACAUGCAAGUCGAACGAGAUCUUCGGGUCUAGUGGCGCACGGGUGCGUAACGCGUGGGAAUCUGCCCUUUGGUUCGGAAUAACAGUUGGAAACGACUGCUAAUACCGGAUGAUGACGAAAGUCCAAAGAUUUAUCGCCAGAGGAUGAGCCCGCGUAGGAUCAGCUGGUUGGUGUGGUAAAGGCGCACCAAGGCGACGAUCCUUAGCUGGUCUGAGAGGAUGAUCGGCCACACUGGGACUGAGACACGGCCCAGACUCCUACGGGAGGCAGCAGUGGGGAAUAUUGGACAAUGGGCGAAAGCCUGAUCCAGCAAUGCCGCGUGAGUGAUGAAGGCCUAGGGUUGUAAAGCUCUUUUACCCGGGAUGAUAAUGACAGUACCGGGAGAAUAAGCUCCGGCUAACUCCGUGCCAGCAGCCGCCGCCG
rnacentral:rRNA from 1 species